CCUACGGGAGGCAGCAGUGAGGAAUAUUGGUCAAUGGACGCAAGUCUGAACCAGCCAAGCCGCGUGCAGGAAGACGGCUCUAUGAGUUGUAAACUGCUUUUGUACGAGGGUAAACGCAGAUACGCGUAUCUGUCCGAAAGUAUUGUACGAAUAAGGAUCGGCUAACUCCGUGCCAGCAGCCGCGGUAAUACGGAGGAUGCAAGCGUUAUCCGGAUUUAUUGGGGUUAAAGGGUGCGUAGGCGGUCGGAUAAGUUAGAGGUUAAAACCCGAGGCUCAACUUCGGACUUGCCUCUGAUACUGUUCGGCUUGAGAGUAGUUGCGGUAGGCGGAAUGUAUAGUGUAGCGGUGAAAUGCUUAGAGAUCAUACAGAACACCGAUUGCGAAGGCAGCUUACCAAGCUACUUCUGACGCUGAGGCACGAAAGCGUGGGGAGCGAACAGGAUUAGAUACCCGAGUAGUC
rnacentral:rRNA from 1 species